AAGUCACACACCAUCACUUCCACCAUGUCCCACUGGUCACAGGUCAGAGUGAGUGCUCUAGAUCACCACGCAGCUCUCCUCCAAGCGGCAAUUCCGGUCCAAGCUCCUUCCAUCUCAUGACUCCACCAUCUUCACCUUUGGCCUCCAAGGUCACCAAUAUCCACCAGGAGCAAGAGGAGAGGGCGUGGAGGAAGAAGACUGGCAGCUCAUCGAGCGUGCACUGCAGGAAGGAUCCUCAGUUCAGCACAGCAGCAGGUUGGUGGGAG